UGGGGAAUUUUGGACAAUGGGGGAAACCCUGAUCCAGCCAUCCCGCGUGUGCGAUGAAGGCCUUCGGGUUGUAAAGCACUUUUGGCAGGAAAGAAACGUCAUGGGUUAAUACCCCGUGAAACUGACGGUACCUGCAGAAUAAGCACCGGCUAACUACGUGCCAGCAGCCGCGGUAAUACGUAGGGUGCAAGCGUUAAUCGGAAUUACUGGGCGUAAAGCGUGCGCAGGCGGUUCGGAAAGAAAGAUGUAAAAUCCCAGAGCUAAACUUUGGAACUGCAUUUUUAACUACCGGGCUAGAGUGUGUCAGAGGGAGGUGGAAUUCCGCGUGUAGCAGUGAAAUGCGUAGAUAUGCGGAGGAACACCGAUGGCGAAGGCAGCCUCCUGGGAUAACACUGACGCUCAUGCACGAAAGCGUGGGGAGCAAACAGG
rnacentral:rRNA from 1 species